rnacentral:rRNA from 1 species
UCCAGACUCCUACGGGAGGCAGCAGUGGGGAAUAUUGCACAAUGGGGGGAACCCUGAUGCAGCGACGCCGCGUGGGCGAGGAAGUAUUUCGGUAUGUAAAGCCCUAUCGGCAGGGAAGAAGAAAUGACGGUACCUGAAUAAGAAGCACCGGCUAAAUACGUGCCAGCAGCCGCGGGAAUACGUAUGGGGCAAGCGUUAUCCGGAUUUACUGGGCGUAAAGGGAGCGCAGGCGGCGACGCAAGUCUGGAGUGAAAGCCCGGGGCCCAACCCCGGGACUGCUCUGGAAACUGCGGCGCUGGAGUACGGGAGGGGCAGGCGGAAUUCCUGGUGUAGCGGUGAAAUGCGUAGAUAUCAGGAGGAACACCGGCGGCGAAGGCGGCCUGCUGGACCGUGACUGACGUUGAGGCUCGAGAGCGUGGGGAGCAAACAGGAUUAGAUACCCUAGUA